GUUGACCUCGGAUCAGUAGGGAUACCCGCUGAACUUAAGCAUAUCAAUA
rnacentral:rRNA from 1 species